UACGUAGGAUGCAAGCGUUGUCCGGAAUUACUGGGCGUAAAGCGCACGUAGGCGGCUUCUUAAGUCGGUGGUGAAAUCCUGGAGCUCAACUCCAGAACUGCCUUCGAUACUGGGAGCUCGAGUCCGGGAGAGGUGAGUGGAACUGCGAGUGUAGAGGUGAAAUUCGUAGAUAUUCGCAAGAACACCAGUGGCGAAGGCGGCUCACUGGCCCGGUACUGACGCUGAGGUGCGAAAGCGUGGGGAGCAAACAGG
rnacentral:rRNA from 1 species